AGUUCGAGCGGCAGCGGGAAAGUAGCUUGCUACUUUUGCCGGCGUAGCGGCGGACGGGUGAGAUAAUGCCUGGGGAUCUGCCCAGUUCGAGGGGGAUAACANAUUGGAAACGACUGCUAAUACCGCAUACGCCCUACGGGGGAAAGGAGGGGACCUUCGGGCCUUUCGCGAUUGGAUGAACCCAGGUGGGAUUAGCUAGUUGGUGGGGUAAUGGCUCACCAAGGCGACGAUCCCUAGCUGGUCUGAGAGGAUGAUCAGCCACACUGGAACUGANACACGGUCCAGACUCCUACGGGAGGNAGCAGUGGGGAAUAUUGCACAAUGGGGGAAACCCUGAUGCAGCCAUGCCGCGUGUGUGAAGAAGGCCUUCGGGUUGUAAAGCACUUUCAGCGAGGAGGAAAGGUUGGCGCCUAAUACGUGUCAACUGUGACGUUACUCGCAGAAGAAGCACCGGCUAACUCCGUGCCAGCAGCCGCGGUAAUACGGAGGGUGCAAGCGUUAAUCGGAAUUACUGGGCGUAAAGCGCACGCAGGCGGUUGGAUAAGUUAGAUGUGAAAGCCCCGGGCUCAACCUGGGAAUUGCAUUUAAAACUGUCCAGCUAGAGUCUUGUAGAGGGGGGUAGAAUUCCAGGUGUAGCGGUGAAAUGCGUAGAGAUCUGGAGGAAUACCGGUGGCGAAGGCGGCCCCCUGGACAAAGACUGACGCUCAGGUGCGAAAGCGUGGGGGAGCAAACAGGAUUAGAUACCCUGGUAGUCCACGCCGUAAACGAUGUCGAUUUGGAGGCUGUGUCCUUGAAACGUGGCUUCCGGAGCUAACGCGUUAAUCGACGCCUGGGGAAUAC
rnacentral:rRNA from 1 species